rnacentral:rRNA from 1 species
UACGUAGGGUGCAAGCGUUGUCCGGAAUUAUUGGGCGUAAAGAGCUCGUAGGCGGUUUGUCGCGUCUGCUGUGAAAACCCGAGGCUCAACCUCGGGCCUGCAGUGGGUACGGGCAAACUAGAGUGCGGUAGGGGAGAAUGGAAUUCCUGGUGUAGCGGUGGAAUGCGCAGAUAUCAGGAGGAACACCGAUGGCGAAGGCAGUUCUCUGGGCCGUAACUGACGCUGAGGAGCGAAAGCGUGGGGAGCGAACAGA